rnacentral:rRNA from 1 species
GCACAAGCAGUGGAGUAUGUGGUUUAAUUCGAAGCAACGCGAAGAACCUUACCAGGUCUUGACAUCCAACUAACGAAGUAGAGAUACAUUAGGUGCCCUUCGGGGAAAGUUGAGACAGGUGGUGCGUGGUUGUCGUCAGCUCGUGUCGUGAGAUGUUGGGUUAAGUCCCGCAACGAGCGCAACCCUUGCUAUUAGUUGCUACGCAAGAGCACUCUAAUAGGACUGCCGUUGACAAAA